rnacentral:lncRNA from 1 species
AAACGUAUUUCCAAACUUAACCUAAAAUAGUAAAGUGUUCUAUUUAUAUUACACAUGAAAAAUCGGACAAAAAUAUCCCUGAGGGUCUGGCGCGGACCAUAUAAAAAUGACAUGCGGCCGUGUAAGGCACAUGGUCUUUUGAUAUGUGCUUCUGUACUUGGAGAUGCAGACAUCAUCAAAAUGUCACGCAUACGCAUAGGUUGAAUCAAGCGGACCGCGUGGAAAUGGUGCGCGUCCGUACAGGUAGGAUCAAGCGGACCACGUGGAAAUGGUGCGCGGACGCAUAAUAGAAUUCAUCCAAUGAUUGACUCUCUUAACUUUUACCAACGUGGACUGCACUGCAUUGGUGUGCGGCCGCGUGGGACUUUGCCUUGAAUUGCUGAGCCUCCAAUCUCUCAUCAGUGCGGAUCGCAUGGAAAUAGAUGCGGUUCGUGUGGAUCUUAUUCACUUUUGGUAACUCUCUGAACGUUUCUGCAUGGCCGCGUGGAAAAGCAGGGCAAACCGCAUAGGUGAGGCUUGACUUGGCAGCUUGCAGAACUCUCCUCUGGGGCCGCACAACAGAAAAAUUCGGUUCGCGCAGGUCACCUUUUUCCCUUUAUAAAUUUUCUUUUGACGCUUGGUAGGUUUCACUCCUCUUUUGAGCCUAUUUGUGAUAUGUAUCAUCUAGUUGCUCAAACCUGCAAUUAAGCACAACUUGUAUGCAAUUUAGGACUAAUCUAGAGCAAUUUAUGCACAAUGCUCAAGUAAGAAGGGGUAUAAGACAUGUAUAAUUCCUAGUUAUCAUAGAGUAGUGUGGAAGGGCCAGCCCUCACAUGCCCAAGUUUAGAGGGAACUCAAGGUCCCAAAGCAAGGCUCAUAGGUGGGGGGAAGAACAUAGAGUCUAAGAGAGAGUGUAAGUGCAUAGAGGGGGGAGUUAGGGAAAGCCAUGGCAGUAGUAAUCAUGCCCAGCAAUUGGGAAUGCUGGCACACCCCUGACUAGCUUGUUAGCCAAAUUUAGAGAGUCAUCAUCCAUUGAGGAUCCGGUUCAAACCUGAGAAACAAUUUGGAUGCUGCCAGGCCAUGAACCCUAACUCAAACACAUAGAAGGGAGUACGGGUAUGGGGGUGUUCAUAAGAAACAACAGAUGCAAAGAGAGGCUGACAUAUUUAAUACAGAAUGCAAACAACAAAGUAGAGAAUAUGGUAGUAACAGUAAAGUAAACAGAUAAGGAUAAGGUAGAAAUGUAAUUCAGGACAUACCAGUCUUAGGAAAUAAGAAGAGUAGAAACAGAAGACUUGAAAACCAAAUUGCAGGAAAACAGUCCGAGAACUAUUAGAAGAAAGUAGAGUAUUGAAAUUGAAAGUGUGCUCGAUUAUUGAGAUUAAAGAAGUAUUGAAUGUGUAAGUAAUGCAAGUUGAAAGUGCUGUUAAAGGUUAAAGGUGUGUAAGUGCAGAAGGGUCGUGCCCCUUUUAUAGUGUAGAAAAAAGUAAGAAAGGUAAGAAAAUAGUUCACAAUCAAUACAUAGAUACCCCCUUCAGUUAAGGGAGUUUUGAUUUCUAAUAGGUAGAAAAAGAAUAAGGAAAGAAAUUUGAUUAAAAACUUUUCAAAAUAGCACAAGAAGGGUAAAUAUACAGCAGUUAUUUAAGGAAAACAUUUAGUGGUACACGAUUUGUGAAAAAAAAGAAAAGGAAAUCAAUCAAAUAACAAGGAAAAUCAAAGUUAUGGGCUUUGUUUGAAUGAACAAGAUCAAGAAAAGGUAAAGAGGGUUCAAUUAAAGAAAAUCAAUAGUAAUCGGUCAGACCUUAUUAGAAGGAUUUCGAAAUCAAUUAAUUAGUUUUCAAAAACCCUUUUGAAGGAAGAAAUUCUCAAAUAUAAAUCACACAAAUAUCAUAUAAAAAGAGUUGUCAUGCUAAUUAGAAAAAUAAGCAUAGAAUGGUCCAAAGCCAUAAGCAAAGAAUUUAAAAUUCAAUUCAUAGUACUUUGGAGGAGUCUGAUAGUUCGGGGUUCCAAAGUAGAACCCUAAUCAAACUUGCCAAUGAAAUCCCCAAAUCCAAGGGUUUCAAAUCGAAUCAGAUAUAGAGGUUAGGGAAAGUCAUUGAAAUAGACUCAAAGGUCUAUUUCAUAGCCUCAUGAGAAACAGAACCGAUAUUAUAGCAGCUUUGAAACAACAAGGAAAGAAAACAGAUUUAGAGCAUGAAGAACAUGUUUUUGGAGAAAAGAGGAGAAAAAAUGAUACAAACUCAAAAAGUAGAGAUGAAACAUGCUUGGAAAAACUCGGACAAAGUCCUAUAAAGCAAAAAAAGAUUGAAGAAAUUAUCAGGAAACACAUAAAACCAGUAUCAUGUAGGAAAACAUGGUAGAGAUAAUCCUGCGAGACUAGUUUAGAGGCAUAGUAAAACUACUAAUGUAUAGAAGAACCACAUAUAAAGAAAAACAGAAUAUCGAGCACAUGUGUGGUAGAAAAGAAAACUUACGAGCAUAACACAGACAAACACACAUAAAGAAAAUGAUAGUAAGAAUCAAAAAUACAUUUUGAAGAAACCUUUUACAAACCCUAAAUCGACGAAAAAACGAUUUUGAAAGGACAAUUUGGGGAAAAUUUUAAAAAAGUUCAGUAGAACAUAGAUAUAUCAUAGAUCUAGGAAAAUAAGCAAGUAAAGAACCUCAGACAACUUAGGGCUUCGUAGAAAAUCCUAGAAAUGAGAAAGGCCUUGAGAAAAGUCAGAUCCUUUGUCGGAAAGGCUGAUAAUGCUUGAAUAUGCCGGAAUAAGGGACGGAUAGGCCAUGUGACCAAAGAUAUGAAGAGAACCAUCAAAGUCCGACCUCAAAUCAUCUAACAACCAAGGUGGAGUGGUGGAUAAGGGUGAGUGUAGACCAUCCAUAGCCUGAGAGGUCAUGGAUUCUGACGAAAGUAUUGUGAAGAGAGGUGGAAGGAGGCUAGGGUUCCGAAGAGGUUUGAGAGAGUUUUGGGAGAUGAAAGGAUUUCAAAA